CAUCAACGCUGGCGGCGUGCCUAACACAUGCAAGUCGAACGAGAAAGUGGAGCAAUCCAUGAGUAAAGUGGCGCACGGGUGAGUAACACGUGACUAACCUACCCUUGAGUGGGGGAUAACCUAGGGAAACCUGGGCUAAUACCGCAUAACACCUACGGGUCAAAGGAGCAAUUCGCUUUAGGAGGAGGUCGCGGCAGAUUAGUUAGUUGGCGGGGUAAUGGCCCACCAAGACGAUGAUCUGUAUCCGGCCUGAGAGGGCGCACGGACACACUGGAACUGAAACACGGUCCAGACUCCUACGGGAGGCAGCAGUGGGGAAUUUUGCGCAAUGGGGGAAACCCUGACGCAGCAACGCCGCGUGGAGGAUGAAGACCCUUGGGUCGUAAACUCCUUUCGAUCGGGACGAUAAUGACGGUACCGGAAGAAGAAGCCCCGGCUAACUUCGUGCCAGCAGCCGC
rnacentral:rRNA from 1 species